rfam:Candidatus Acidianus copahuensis strain ALE1 ctg7180000000324, whole genome shotgun sequence.
GGGCCCAUAGCUCAGCUAGGUAGAGUGCUGGGCUCCAGAUGAAUUUCAUUGGGUCUAGAGACCCGAAAGGGGAUGAGCGACAUCUGGAACGGAGAGACCCAGUGGUCGGGGGUCCGAGUCCCCCUGGGCCCA